rnacentral:rRNA from 1 species
GAUGAACGCUGGCGGCGUGCCUAAUACAUGCAAGUCGAGCGAACAGACGAGGAGCUUGUUCCUCUGACGUUAGCGGCGGACGGGUGAGUAACACGUGGCUAACCUACCUAUAAGACUGGGAUAACUUCGGGAAACCGGAGCUAAUACCGGAUAAUCUAUUGAACCGCAUGGUUCAAUAGUGAAAGAAGGACUUGCUUUCACUUAUAGAUGGAUCCGCGCCGGCUUAGCUAGUUGUUAAGGUAAUGGCUUACCAAUGCAACGGUGCGUAGGCGCCCUUGGAGGGGGAUCGUCCACACGGGAACUGGGACUGGGACCCGGCUCCUACGGGAAGCAGCGGUAGGGGUGCGGCCGCAAGGGGCGAAAGCCGGACGGUGCAGCGGCGCGGGAGUGUUGAAGGUCUUCGGAUCGGAAAACUCUGUUAUUAGGGAAGAACAAAUGUGUAAGUAACUAUGCACGUCUUGACGGUACCUAAUCAAAAAGCCACGGCUAACUACGUG